AACCUGGUUGAUCCUGCCAGUAAAAUAUGCUUCUCUAAAAGACUAAGCCAUGCAUGUCUUAGAACACACGGCACCUAGUGUCGACAACUCAUCUGUGGAUGGCUCAUUAAACCUGUUGUAAUCUAGCCACUCGAAAGUCUGAAAUGGAUAACCGCACCAACGGUGUGGAUAAUACACGCAGUGCGCGGCCUUCGGGUCGCAGGUUAUAGGGGAACUGGCAAAGCCCCUAUACAUUAGCGGACGGGAGGCCUCGGUCUCCUCGAUGCUACUACAGACUAUCGACCGGUAACCCCUCGUGCCCUCGGGUGCGAGCGGGUGCCUUCGGGUGGCCAAGAGGGAGAACUUCAACCCUAUCAGCUACUGUUGCUACGCCAAAGACGUAGCAAGGCAACAACGGGUACGGAGGAUCAGUGUCCAACUCCGGAGAAGGAGCCAUAGUAAAGGCUACUACAUCUAAGGAAGGCAGCAGGCGCGUAAAUUACCCAAUCCUAACGCAGGGAGGUAGUGAAGAGACAUAACAACCUUUCGCUUCGCGGAAGGGUACUGUCUAACAGUUUGCAAUGGGGUCAACUUAAAAGUAUGGCAGAGUACCAACAGGAGGACAAGUUUGGUGCCAGCACCCGCGGUAAUUCCAGCUCCUGUAGUGUAUUUUAAUAUUGUUGCAGUUAAAACGUUCGCAGCCGACCUACGCAUGGUGGGUGAGCCUGCGGUGAUGCUCCACCGGGAGACUGUGUUGCUUCGGCGGCGCARAGGACCGGAGCUUCGGCUACGGGGUGUCGCCCUUGGCGCUGACUGAUCCCCUGUCUUCGGACGGGAGGCUGACGUUGGUGUGCAGGUGCAGUCUGUCAUGCACGCUCUGACCGUGAGCAAAUCGUCGCGCUUAAAGCAGGCACUGUCUGUCAGCUCGCUGACGCAGGCCUAGUUGAACUAGCAUGGAAUCUAACCAGAGUCUCUCUGGACGCGCGCAUUGGGAGUGGUGGGGGGCUUGAGUAUUGUGCCGCGAGGGGUGAAAUCCGGUGACCGGCGCAAGACUACCAACAGCGAAAGCACUUGCCCAUGCCACAUCCGACGGCGAGGAACGAAAGUCAGGGGAUCGAGACGAUUAGAUACCGUCGUAGUCCUGACUGUAAACGAUACCGACAAGAGAUUGGGGUGACACCCAUCUCUGAUCCUCUCAGCAUCUGAGGGAAACCGUAAGUUUCCGAGUUCUGGGGGGAGUAUGGUUGCAAGGCUGAAACUUAAAAGGAUUGACGGAAGGGCACCACCAGGAGUGGAGUCUGCGGUUUAAUUCGACUCAACACGGGGAAACUCACCAGGGCCAGACACCCGAAUGAUUGACAGGCUGAAGUCCUUUCUUGAUUGUGUGAUUGGUAGUGCAUGGCCGUUCUUAGUACGUGGCCCGAGCUGUCUAGUUAAUUCUGAUAACGUACGAGACCUUCGCCCUUAGUUGGCAACCUGUGGGCUUCGGCCCACUCGCUUCUUCGGAAGCAGGUUCUCAGGCGCACUCGUGUGCCGGUGCAACUUAAGGGGACGACGCACGUAGUCAAUAGUGCGGGGAAGUCGAAGGCAAUAACAGGUCUGUAAUGCUCUUAGAUGUUCUGGGCAACACGCGUACUACACUGUCAACGAUAACAAGCAGCGUGCCUCCGGCACCGCUCUUCUCCCCGCAACCGCAACCGGAGUAGGGAAUCUCCGAAACUUUGACGUGACAGGGAUAGCUGAUUGUAAGUCCGUCUUGAACGAGGAAUUCCUAGUAGACGUAAGUCAGCAACUUGCGUCGACUACGUCCCUGCCCUUUGUACACACCGCCCGUCGCUCCUACCAACGGGACGGGAAGGCAAAGUCGGUGGACCGCUCAUGCUACAGCUUCGGCUGCAUGGCUUGUGUGGAAAGCUGACUGAACCUUCACGUCUAGAGGAAGGAGAAGUCGUAACAAGGUUUUCGUGGGUGAACCUGCAGAAGGAUCA
rnacentral:rRNA from 1 species